GUCUACAGCCAUACCACCCUGAAGGCGCCCGAUCUCGCCAGAUCUUGGAAGCUAAGCAGGGUCGGGCCUGGUUAGUACUUGGAGACCACAUGGGAAUACUGGACACUGUAGGCU
rnacentral:rRNA from 1 species